GACGAACGCUGGCGGCGUGCCUAAUACAUGCAAGUAGAACGCACAGUUUAUACCGUAGCUUGCUACACCAUAGACUGUGAGUUGCGAACGGGUGAGUAACGCGUAGGUAACCUGCCUGGUAGCGGGGGAUAACUAUUGGAAACGAUAGCUAAUACCGCAUAAUAUUGAUUAUUGCAUGAUAAUUAAUUGAAAGGUGCAAUUGCACCACUACCAGAUGGACCUGCGUUGUAUUAGCUAGUAGGUGAGGUAACGGCUCACCUAGGCGACGAUACAUAGCCGACCUGAGAGGGUGAUCGGCCACACUGGGACUGAGACACGGCCCGGACUCCUACGGGAGGCAGCAGUAGGGAAUCUUCGGCAAUGGACGAAAGUCUGACCGAGCAACGCCGCGUGAGUGAAGAAGGUUUUCGGAUCGUAAAGCUCUGUUGUAAGAGAAGAACGGGUGUGAGAGUGGAAAGUUCACACUGUGACGGUAGCUUACCAGAAAGGGACGGCUAACUACGUG
rnacentral:rRNA from 1 species